UCAAAAACUGUGAGAUAGAUAAACAGCUAAUUAAAUAUAAAUCUGUAUAAUAGUAAACAACAUUUUAAUUUCAAUAAAGGUAUGUCACGGGUAUGACACUGUGACGUCAUUCAAGAUAUGUCACUGCAUAAACACCAUGUAACAGGAAUAUCCACAAAUUAAGGAACACUCGAAAGGCUUUAUAAUACUAAGGAACAUAUAAAUGGCCUGUCACAAUGUGAUGAUAUUAAUGAUACGAAGAGAAGUUUCAUUCCUUCGACACUAAUAGAGAACUUUGGAAUACUUUGGAUUGAAGAUAAACGAGUGAGGAGAUUGAAGUUCAUUUUGAUACUGCUGAGAAAACAAAUCGUCUCCCUCCUAUGAUGUUUUAUGUGUUAACUUUUCAUCUUGGAGGCUAUUGCAGUUAAUUAAUUGGGGAACACUGGAAGAACUCCAAAUUCCAUUAAAAUAUGGUGGUAUCAGUUAUGAAUCACUCUAAAAUGUAGCUGCACUCGUGGCCCUGAAGAAAGCAUGAAAAUGCCAUUUUUAUUUAAUUACAAUGAACGAGUUUGAACGAUAGUAGUGACAUCUAAGUUUACCCUACAUUAGUAGACGAUACUUGGAAUAUAUAUAUAAAUGGUACUGGCAAAGAAAACUUCGAAUUUCACUGCCAUCUAUACAUAAAACUAUGAAGCGUAACCA